rnacentral:rRNA from 1 species
AUGGAUUGGUGCCUUCGGGAACUGUGAGACAGGUGCUGCAUGGCUGUCGUCAGCUCGUGUUGUGAAAUGUUGGGUUAAGUCCCGCAACGAGCGCAACCCUUAUCCUUUGUUGCCAGCGGUCCGGCCGGGAACUCAAAGGAGACUGCCAGUGAUAAACUGGAGGAAGGUGGGGAUGACGUCAAGUCAUCAUGGCCCUUACGACCAGGGCUACACACGUGCUACAAUGGCAUAUACAAAGAGA